AUUGAACGCUGGCGGAAUGCUUUACACAUGCAAGUCGAACGGCAGCACGGGGGCAACCCUGGUGGCGAGUGGCGAACGGGUGAGUAAUACAUCGGAGCGUGGCCAGGCGUGGGGGAUAACGUAGCGAAAGCUACGCUAAUACCGCAUACGAUCUACGGAUGAAAGCGGGGGAUCGCAAGACCUCGCGCGAUUGGAGCGGCCGAUGGCAGAUUAGGUAGUUGGUGAGGUAAAGGCUCACCAAGCCGACGAUCUGUAGCUGGUCUGAGAGGACGACCAGCCACACUGGGACUGGGACAGCGCCCAGACUCCUACGGGAGGCAGCAGUGGGGAAUUUUGGACAAUGGGCGCAAGCCUGAUCCAGCCAUUCCGCGGGCAGGAUGAAGGCCCUCGGGUUGUAAACUGCUUUUGUACGGAACGAAACGGCUCUCUCUAAUACAGGGGGCUAAUGACGGUACCGUAAGAAUAAGCACCGGCUAACUACGUGCCAGCCGCCGCAGUAA
rnacentral:rRNA from 1 species